AUUGCCACGUGUCAUGGAACCGUGAGCCCACCCCACCCACUAGCUUUUCCUUAACCUAACUGCGUCAAAAGGGACGCCAAUAGUUCCGACCAAGCGUGUUUAGUUAAA